ensembl:lncRNA
CAGAGAGAGGGUGCAGACACAUCAGUGCAUAACUGCCUAGUUGUACAUAGAGUACAUAGUUAAUGAGAGACUGGGUUGCUUAGUCAGUUAGUCAGUGUGUAUGACUUAGGUCCUAAGUCAUUCAGUCAGCAUGCAGAGCAACAUCUACAGGCAGCAGAAUGAGCACUUUGAAGUCUUUACCACUGUCCUCUCCCCACAAGUUCACCGGGGACGAUGCCAAUUCAGACAGGCAGAGGCUGACCAGGCAAGUUAUUUUCCUGUUAAUGCUCACUCUCAGAUCCUCAAUAUUUAUUAACUAUGUUGAAUGAAAAUAUGCUUGGAUGAAUUCAACUUGUUGAUACAAUUGGUAGAUUUGCUCCGCAAUUCACCCUCAUAUCCCCUGGAUUCUGUUCAUGCAAGCAUGAGACAUCUAAUGUAGAUUGUUUUUGUGUCUCCAGCUACACUUGUCUGUAGAGACAAUUGCAUUAGUUAGUUCAAAUUAGAUGCUGUCUGUUAUGUCAUUCAUUACCAUGAGACUAAAGAGAACAGAUCAUGGAGAACAGCAGGUGAUUGGGUUUCUUUAUAACUGUGAGCCAGGUAAUCCAUAGAGUUUUAGCCAGCCACCUAAUCCUCUUCAUUCAUUCAGGCAUAGACUCAAUGUGAAUGAGCUGAGGAAUGGAACAAUGAAUUGGACAUGUCAUGAUAUAUCAUAUAAACUUACUGCAUAGACAAGCAUAUACUGUGACAGACAUAAGGAACACCGCUGCAUGUGCUCAAAUACUGCAUCUGUCUUGUUACAUAUAAAAUGUAUUGAAGUUGCAUUUCUCGAUUAAUCCACUAGAUGGUGGUAAAGCGCAGCUACAAGCCCCACUGGCCAGAUGAGCUGGCGCUGACCCGGGGGGAGUUCAUCCUGGUUCUGUGUAAAGAUGAUGAGGCCCGGUGGUUUGGGCGGCUGCAAAACGGACAGCAGGGAUACUUCCCGGCCUCGCAUGUUGUGGAGCUGAGCCACCAGGACGAUGAGCCAGCUAAAGACGUCCACCGCUUAGCGAGACGGGGUUCAGCUCCGGCCACGUAUGCAGGUGGUACUGGCGCACUCAGGCUGCAGGCCCUCCGCAGAGCCAGCAGAGCAGCGGCAGGAGGGGGGCCGGAGGGGGCCGAGGGGGAGAGAGAGGGCCCCAUCCUGAUACUGAAGUCCCAGAUCUCUCUCCCUAACAGGCUGCCCCAGCCCCUGCCCCAACCCCAGCCACAGGCACACAGCUCCCCAAGUUUCCUCCACAGGAUCCUAUCCAAGCACCGUCGGAGGAGUGAUUGUCAUGGGUCCAGCAACACGGGCUACAUGGCCGACUAAGAUGCUACGAUGGACGGUGGUGUGUGGGGAGAGAAACAGGCACAAGAGGGGAAAGGAGGGAGGAGAGAGGAGGAGAUUGGGUAUAGCGAAAAGUGACUACAUUUUGUGCCCACCCCCAAUGGGGCCAGGUAGGGUUGCCAUAGUUACAUCACUAAUGCUAGUCUAUGACUGAACUGCUGGCUGCAUCAUUGGAGAGCUGGAGUGAGGGUAACUACUUCCCUGCCUCCUCUGUAAAGUGUUUAAGAAAUAUCAAUGGUGUACCGUAUAUACAUUUUCCGGGAUUAAGAUGUGACAUUAAGCAAGCCGUAAAUUGAAGGGUUGAAUAGGGGGAUCAGAUUUAUGACUAUAUUUUAUGAAGCUAACUGUGUUUACUUCAGCCAAAUAAUGUUCCAUGAGUCUGCUUGAGCUUUCUGUUCCAUGAGUCUGCCUGAGCUUUCUGUUCCAUGUUGUCAUCCAUAUUAGGCUGUAUUCUCUGCAACUAUGACGUUCCAGAGCAGCACUAAAUCAUUGAUAUAUUUCCUUUUGACUAUAAAUUGUUCAAUUUCAUUUGUGUUAAACCCAACAUCAGCCAAGAAUGUAUUUUUCAUAAAAAAUAAUCAAACCCGUACUUGCGGCUGAUAUCCCUUAAUUCUAGUUAGUAACAUAUUCCACUACAGCAUGUACCACGGCAAGAGUCUUCCAUUCAACGGAACUGAAAAAAGCCCUGCGAAGUGAGAGGAUGUGUGAUUGAGGCGUGUUGAAAGGCACUGCCAAAGGAAAUGGCAUCAUUAUUGUGAAGGUUGCCCAGGCAAUGGUAAAACAGCUCUCUCUCUCUGGGCUCAACACAGUCUUCAGUGGUACCUCCCAGCAUGGCCACGACUGGAGUACGCUGUAGAAUGUAUCCUUUGAAAGGGCAACGCUGUGGAAUGUAUCCUUUGGAAGGACUAAAGCUCCAACUCUCUAAUCCUAAUCCUAACCUUGACCUCUAUUAGAUUUAGACACCACAUCCACCAGCCCAGUGAUGUGUCCAUUGAUAAACUUAGAUCAGAUCUAUUCUAACAAGGACCAUAUCCCCGCCUGAUAUGUGAGAUUAUGGCACUAGCAAGCAGUAAUGCGAACUACAGGGAAUGCUGGUUAAAAAGGUAAGCGUUUAAAAAAAAACACCAAAGCCAAAAGCCGUCCUGUAAUUUAUGACUAGUUGCAUGGUCAGUCUGAACCUCUGUGUUGUUGAAGAUGGAAGCAGAAAUAGUGUCUGAACAGUUUUCCAACAUCUUGGUGUUCCUUCGCACAUCUUCCUGAUUUCUUAGUAUGUGAUAUAGGAUGUUUGAUGCUGGAGGCCUGGCCGCCACAGCCAUCUGCUGAGAAAGGCUUAGCGCCUCUGAGAGAGGAGAAGCUUUCCCCCUCUGACUGGCCUCUCCUCUCUCUACUCUCCUUCAUCCAUUCAUUCAUUCAAUCAGUGCUUUAAUUAUCUCUAAUCCAGGGUCAAACUCUGCCUCUCUCUAACUCCUGGAAUAAAGCCUUGCUAUGUGGAUUAUUGUGGUUGACAUCCAGUGGGGACAGUGACAGCUACACACAGAGUGACAGAGGCCCUACUCUCAUAGAGGCUAGAGGUCCAGAGGGCUGGUGUGUGUGUAGAGGGGGGAUGUUCACCUGCCUGACACCUGUUCUUUCCCCUCCUCACCUGUGGAGCAGCAGAUGCUAUGCAGGAGAGUGCUGAGCCCUGCCCCACCCCCAGUGAACACAGUCUGUACCCCUCAUACACUGUCUUCCAUGCCCAUUCAACCAGGAAACCUUGACUAAGCACACACACACACACACACACACACACACACACACACACACACACACACACACACACACACACACACACACACACACACACACACACACACACACACACACACACACACACACACACACACACACAAGUUACACCUCAGAUACACCCAGAAAGAAACGCAAACCACACAGACCAACCCAGUCCAAUGUAUUGUAUCGCCCCUCAUUGUGAAUCUGUUGUUUGUUGCUAAAAGUGUAGUCAGGCAGCAGGCUCCUCUAGUAUACCAGUUAGGUACCGCUGUUCAUUAGUGAGCCUGUUUAACCUCACAGCACUAACAUACACGGGGGAACUGGAGACCUAGGACCUAUUUACAGCAGAAAGGGACCAAAACACACACACACAAUUUGGUUUUCCCGCCUAAAGUGUCUCAUCCCCUCAGUGGUGCUGUGUGUUCAGCAGGACACCAACAGGGUGCCUGCCAGAUGACUGCCCUGUCAGUGCUAUAAUGGCUGCCAUCUGCUGUCUGGCAUACACAAAGGCUGGCAGUGGCAGUAUGUGUGUGUGUGUGUGUGUGUGUGUGUGUGUGUGUGUGUGUGUAGGGGAAAUACAGGAGGGGGAGGGACCCUCUCUGCAUUGAACACCAAUUCACACAGCAAAGUUUGAGCACUGUACAACAUAAUGACUUGAAACAGUAUAUAUAUAUUUGAAGUAAAACAUACUUCUCUAAAAUCAAUAAAUGCUUUACCCAUUGAUUGAUGUGCUACAGUACUACUAAAAUAGAUUCCUGUCAAUACACUGUAUAGUACACACGUCUGUAUAGUACACACGUCUGUAUAGUACACAUGUCUGUACUGAUACCCAACAGGUGCAUGUGUGGCCAAGCUAAGUCAAUAAGGAGUGCCCUGUGCAGGACCAAAACAAUACACUCAGUAAACACAAGGCUUUACAGGCUGAUGCCAACAACCAAUUAAGAGGCAGUAAGCCUUUGACAUGUCUCAAGCCAGUCCAGACCAUCUGAAAGCAACAAUAGCUCAAGUCCUGCCCAGACAAGAAACAGAUUGAUCUAGUGGAUAUUUGCGUGCGCGUUUGUCUGUACUGUUGAUGCUGCCCCAGCAGAAGGCAAGUCGCCAGGCCUUGUGCCCCUCCUCUUGGGGGCAAUUGAGUGAAUGGGUCUGUAAAAGCAACAGGCCCUGGGGACAAUAGCGCCCGGGGGCAUUAAGUCACGGGUGACUGGGCGUCUUUAGGGCCAGCAGCUGACCCUGUGGAGAGGCCUCUUGUCCUGCCGGAGGGGGACUCGUGUCACAGACCCCAGGCCAAGCUGACAGCACACCGCCACACACACACGGAAGGGGGAUUGUGUCCAUGGUGAACCCAGGCCAAGCUGACACACACCACAGGCAACAUAUACACAGAUACUGUUAAUCUACUGCCAUAAGGACCUGACAGGACUGGACAGGGAACAGAAGAGUCCUUCCACUGGAGGGAACAGGGAUA